rnacentral:rRNA from 1 species
UACGUAGGGUGCAAGCGUUGUCCGGAAUUAUUGGGCGUAAAGAGCUCGUAGGCGGGUCUGUCAACGGUCGGCUGGUGAAAAACCCGGAAGGCUCAACCUCGGGCCUGCAGUCGAUACGGGCAAACUAGAGUACUGCAGGGGAGACUGGAAUUCCUGGUGUAGCGGUGAAAUGCGCAGGAUAUCAGGAGGAACACCGGUGGCGAAGGCGGGUCUCUGGG